CAAAGAUUAAGCCAUGCAAGUGUCAGUUCAUGCCAAACUAAGGUGAAACCGCGAAAGGCUCAUUAAAUCAGUUACAGUUUACUUGAUGGCAUGACGUUACCGUUACUUGGAUAACUGUGGCAAUUCUAGAGCUAAUACAUGCACUCGAGUCCCGACCGCGUUAGCGCGCGGAAGGGACGCUUUUAUUAGAUCAAAACCAAUCGGGAAAUCGGUCCUCUGCGUCCGACGUACCGUACAGUCUUGGUGACUCUGGAUAAAUUGUCGCUGAUCGCAAGGUCUUCGCGCCUGCGACGCAUCUUUCAAAUGUCUGACUUAUCAACUAUCGACGGUAUGCCACGUGCCUACCGUGGUGGUAACGGGUAACGGGGAAUCAGGGUUCGAUUCCGGAGAGGGAGCCUGCGAAACAGCUACCACAUCCAAGGAAGGCAGCAGGCGCGCAAAUUACCCACUCCCGGCACGGGGAGGUAGUGACGAAAAAUAACGAUGCAGGACUCUAUCAUGAGGCUCUGCAAUCGGAAUGAGAAGACUCUAAAUCAUUUACCGAGUAUCCAUUGGAGGGCAAGUCUGG
rnacentral:rRNA from 1 species